GAUGAACGCUGGCGGCGUGCCUAAUACAUGCAAGUCGAGCGAACGGACGAGAAGCUUGCUUCUCUGAUGUUAGCGGCGGACGGGUGAGUAACACGUGGAUAACCUACCUAUAAGACUGGGAUAACUUCGGGAAACCGGAGCUAAUACCGGAUAAUAUUUUGAACCGCAUGGUUCAAAAGUGAACGACGGUCUUGCUGUCACUUAUAGAUGGAUCCGCGCUGCAUUAGCUAGUUGGUAAGGUAACGGCUUACCAAGGCAACGAUGCAUAGCCGACCUGAGAGGGUGAUCAGCCACACUGGAACUGAGACACGGUCCAGACUCCUACGGGAGGCAGCAGUAGGGAAUCUUCCGCAAUGGGCGAAAGCCUGACGGAGCAACGCCGCGUGAGUGAUGAAGGUCUUCGGAUCGUAAAACUCUGUUAGUAGGGAAGAACAUAUGUGUAAGUAACUGUGCACAUCUUGACGGUACCUAAUCAGAAAGCCACGGCUAACUACGUG
rnacentral:rRNA from 1 species